rnacentral:rRNA from 1 species
UACAGAGGUGUCAAGCGUUGUUCGGAAUUAUUGGGUGUAAAGCGCGUUAAGAUGGUUUUAUAAGUCAGAUGUGAAAUUAUUCAGCUUAACUGAGUAACGUCAUCUGAAACUGCAUAACUUGAGUCCAGGAGAGGAAAGCGGAAUUCCCGGUGUAGCGGUAAAAUGCGUAGAUAUCGGGAGGAACACCUGUGGCGAAGGCGGCUUUCUGGACUGGUACUGACAUUCAAGCGCGAAAGCUAAGGGAGCAAACGGGAUUAGAUACCCGAGUA